rnacentral:rRNA from 1 species
UACAGAGGGGGCAAGCGUUGUUCGGAAUUACUGGGCGUAAAGGGCGCGUAGGCGGCCUGUUAAGUCGAACGUGAAAUCCCCGGGCUCAACCCGGGAACUGCGUCCGAUACUGGCAGGCUUGAAUUCGGGAGAGGGAUGCGGAAUUCCAGGUGUAGCGGUGAAAUGCGUAGAUAUCUGGAGGAACACCGGUGGCGAAGGCGGCUUUCUGGGCCCUACCUGACGCUGAGACGCGAAAGCGUGGGGAGCGAACCGG